GGUGGCUCAGUGGUAGAGCACUUGCCUUUCAUGCCUGAGGCCCUGGGUUCAAUUCCCAGUACCA
rnacentral:tRNA from 1 species